AUAAAUGAUCCUGGAAAGGGAUACUGAAAGUCAACAGAAUUUAAUCCCCUUUUUGGCAGUUUCUUUUCUGGUCAUGAAUCAGAUAUGGUGAAGGAAUAAGAUUUUUGUGUUCACAGAAUCCUCAGAACCUUCAGCCUUUCCGUGAAGUUGAAAUUAGAUCCUCUGUUUUGGUAGCCCUGGCACUUAUUUGCACUUUAUGGGUUUUGGUUAUCUUCAGUUUAAUUGAAGAUGGUGCUUGCAGUUUUUAUUCUUCUCCUUUGUAAAGCAAUGU
rnacentral:lncRNA from 1 species